AGCCCAGAGCCUGAAUCAGUGUGUGUGUUAGUGGAAGCGUCUGGAAAGGCGCGCGAUACAGGGUGACAGCCCCGUACACAAAAAUGCACAUGCUGUGAGCUCGAUGAGUAGGGCGGGACACGUGGUAUCCUGUCUGAAUAUGGGGGGACCAUCCUCCAAGGCUAAAUACUCCUGACUGACCGAUAGUGAACCAGUACCGUGAGGGAAAGGCGAAAAGAACCCCGGCGAGGGGAGUGAAAAAGAACCUGAAACCGUGUACGUACAAGCAGUGGGAGCACGCUUAGGCGUGUGACUGCGUACCUUUUGUAUAAUGGGUCAGCGACUUAUAUUCUGUAGCAAGGUUAACCGAAUAGGGGAGCCGAAGGGAAACCGAGUCUUAACUGGGCGUUAAGUUGCAGGGUAUAGACCCGAAACCCGGUGAUCUAGCCAUGGGC
rnacentral:rRNA from 1 species